rnacentral:piRNA from 1 species
AAGGAUGAUGAAAAAGAGGCUGAGG